UAUGGUGGUUUUGCCGGGGGUGUUCACCUCUUCCCAUUCCGAACAGAGAAGUUAAGUCCCCCAUGGCCGAUGGUACUUGCAUUACGCUGGGAGAGUAGGUAGCUGCCAUAU
rnacentral:rRNA from 3 species